UACGGAGGGUGCAAGCGUUGUCCGGAAUCACUGGGCGUAAAGGGCGCGUAGGCGGCGCGGUAAGUCGGUUGUGAAAUCCCGGGGCUCAACUCCGGGGCUGCAUCCGAGACUGCCGUGCUCGAGCGUGGUAGAGGCGAGUGGAAUUCCCGGUGUAGCGGUGGAAUGCGUAGAGAUCGGGAAGAACACCAGUGGCGAAGGCGGCUCGCUGGGCCAUUGCUGACGCUGAGGCGCGAAAGCGUGGGGAGCAAACAGG
rnacentral:rRNA from 1 species